rnacentral:misc_RNA from 1 species
GAUGAAGAACGUAGCGAAAUGCGAUAACUAAUGUGAAUUGCAGAAUUCAGUGAAUCAUCGAGUCUUUGAACGCACAUUGCGCCCCCUGGUAUUCCGGGGGGCAUGCCUGUCCGAGCGUCAUUGCUGCCCUCAAGCCCGGCUUGUGUGUUGGGUCUCGUCCCCCUUCCCGGGGGGACGGGCCCGAAAGGCAGCGGCGGCACCGCGUCCGGUCCUCGAGCGUAUGGGGCUUUGUCACCCGCUCUGUAGGCCCGGCCGGCGCUUGCCGAUCAACCAAAACUUUUUUCCAGGUUGACCUCGGAUCAGGUAGGGAUACCCGCUGAACUUAAGCAUAUCAAUAAGCGGAGGA